rnacentral:sRNA from 1 species
AAAUGCCCGCGUGAAGGAUUGAAGUGACAUCCUUUUUAAUGUCAGUUAGAGUAAUUUUCUUGAAGAAUGAAAGAAAAUUGUAUCGAGAACAAAUUAAAAAGAUAUAACGGAAAGCCUGACUUGGU